ACUCAAAUGAAUUGACGGGGACCCGCACAAGCGGUGGAACGUGUGGUUUAAUUCGACGCUAAGCGAAAAACCUUACCGAGGCUUGACAUCUCAGGAAAGCGCUGGAAACAGUGCCGUGCCGAAAGGAACCUGAAGACAGGUGCUGCAUGGCUGCCGUCAGCUCGUGUUGUGAAAUGUUCGGUUAAGUCCGUCAACGAGCGCAACCCUCAUUAAAUGUUAUAUUUCCCAUUUAAGACUGCCCUGGUUAACAGGGAGGAAGGUGGGGAUGACGUCAAGUCAGCAUGGCUCUUACGCCUCGGGCUACACACGCGUUACAAUGGUCGGUACAAUGGGUUGCCAACCCGCAAGGGGGAGCUAAUCCCAUCAAAACCGGCCCCAGUUCGGAUUGAAGGCUGCAAUUCGCCUUCAUGAAGUCGGAAUCGCUAGUAACCGCAAAUCAGCACGUUGCGGUGAAUACGUUCCCGGGUCUUGUACACACCGCCCGU
rnacentral:rRNA from 1 species